UACGAGUGCUUCGAGCGUUAUCCGGAAUUAUUGGGCGUAAAGGGUGUGUAGGCGGCUGUGUUAGUCUCUUGUAAAAUUUCUCGGCUCAACCGAGAGCUCGCAAGAGAAACGGCACGGCUUUGAGAAUGGAAGGGGUCUCUGGAACUCAUGGUGUAGCGGUGAAAUGCGUUGAUAUCAUGGGGAACACCAAAAGCGAAGGCAGGAGACUGGUCCAUUUCUGACGCUGAAACACGAAAGCGUGGGUAGCGAAUGGG
rnacentral:rRNA from 1 species